rnacentral:rRNA from 1 species
GACGAACGCUGGCGGCGUGCCUAAUACAUGCAAGUCGAACGCAGUGGGGACGGGUGAGUAACACGUGGGUAACCUCCCAUCAGAGGGGAUAACACUUGGAAACAGGUACUAAACCGAUACUGAUGGAUGGACCCGCGGUUCAUUGGCUAGUUGGUGAGGGAACGGCUCACCAAGGCCACGAUGCAUAGCAGACCUGAGAGGCUGAUCGGCCACACUGGGACUGAGACACGGCCCAGACUCCUACGGGAGGCAGCAGUAGGGAAUCUUCGGCAAUGGGCGAAAGUCUGACGGAGCAACGCCGCGUGAGUGAAGAAGGUUUUAGGAUCGUAAAGCUCUGUUGUUAGAGAAGCGGUAUCUAAACAGAAAGCCACGGCUAACUACGUGCCAGCAGCCGCGGUAAUUC